AUGGAGAGAGCGGCAGUGCCGGUCCUGAGCAAGGUCGGGCAGGUGCUGGUGGACGAGCUCCAGGACAUCCGCGGCGUAGGCAACAAGGUCAUCCAACUCCGGGACGAGCUGGCCACCAUGAACGCCGUCCUCCGCGUUAUCUCCGAGGCGAAGGAGGGCUCCGUCGACCACAUCGUCCGGGAGUGGGAGAAGCAGGUGCACGACCUCGUCUACGAUGCCGAGGACUGCACCGACACCUACUCGCUCUGCAUCAGCCGCCCCAUGGCGCGCCCGUCCAUCUACGCCCGCGCCAAGCGCGUUGCCAGGUAUCCGUACAAGAAGCUUGUGCUGCAGCGCGCCCUCGCCGCAGACAUCAAGGAUCUCCUGGUGCGUACCACUGCCGUCAGCGAACGCCGUGCUCGCUACAACAUCGACCGGGCCACGCUGCCAAGAGCUGCCUUCUUGGCCCCCGUCUCGGCAGCGUCUAUCUCCACGAAUGCUCUCCGCCGUGUCAACGACCCUGAUCAGUUCGUGGGCAUAACAGAGCAGGCCGACACCCUGGCUACUAAGAUCAAGGGGCCUAUGCAUGUUCAGCAUGACGAGAGCACGGCUCCGGUCCAUGAUGAGGAUGGCCAGAUCAAUGUGGAGGUCCAUGAUGAGGAUGGCAAGAGUCUCAAGGUGCUCUCCAUUGUGGGGUUCGGAGGGCUGGGGAAGACAACCCUGGCCAUGGAGUUGUGCCGGCAGCUGGACAUGGACUUCCCCUGCCAGGCGACGGUGUCCGUCUCACAAGCAUUCAAUGUAGAGAAGGACAUGGAGGGACUGCUGAAACGACUGCUCCAGCAGCUCAGCAAUAAGAAAGGGGAUGAUAAGCAAACCAACCCGAUGGAUGUGGAAGGGCCAUCCAGCAGGAUCAUGAAGCUCCUCAAGGAGACGAGGUAUCUCAUUUUGAUCGAUGAUGUAUGGAGGCUACCAGCCUGGGAAGCUAUUUGGAACAUAUUUCCAAAGAAUAAUUGUGGCAGCAGAAUCAUUGUGACAACUCGGAUAAAGGCAGUGGCUGCGGCCUCUAGUGUCGACUUUGUCCAUCAUAUGAAGCCCCUAUUAAAAGAAUCAUCUGAGAAAUUAUUUGUCAGAAGAGUGUUUAGCUCCGCAAAGAAGGGUGAUUGCCCCAAAGAACUUCAAGAAACCAUGGAUAUAAUUUUGAAAAAAUGUGGUGGCUUGCCGUUGGCCAUCGUUAGCAUCGCUAGCCUUCUGCCAAGCUCUACGUCAGCUGAGAGCAUAGAUAUGUGGAAACAAGCUUCUAGAUCAAUUAGUUCUCAUAUGGAAAGCAACCGUGCCCUCGAGGGGAUGAGGCAGUUGAUUACACUCAGCUAUGACUACCUACCUCAUUAUCUGAAGGCUUGCAUGAUGUAUGUGAGCAUUUUCCCGGAGGAUUAUAUGAUUGCCAAGGAUAGACUGCUAUACAGAUGGAUUGCUGAAGGUCUGGUCACUGAGAAACGGGGCUUGACUUUGUUGGAGGUUGCAGAAGAAUACUUCAACGAGUUGAUAAGUAGGAACAUGAUUCAACUAGACAAGUUUGUGUACCAGUUAAAACAUUCUAGAGAAGUGGAGGUACAGGGGUGCCGGGUGCAUGACAUGAUCCUUGAGGUCAUGGUGUCCAAAUCCCAUGAGUCUAACUUUGUUAGCUUGGUAGGGCGUGAAUUUGGAGGGAAGACAGAUGGACAUGGCAAGGUCCGCCGCCUCUCCAUCCACGAUAAUGGCCAUGACGAGCAUCAUCAUUCAAGGCAUGGCAUUGAGGCGAUGAAGCUACAGCAUGUCCGGUCAUUGACCACAUUUCAGCGUGACGGUUUUGGCAAGCUACUGGAUCACCUAGGUGAGUUCAAAUUGCUGAGAGUACUUGACCUGGAAGAUUGCCAGGCCCUGAGAAACAAGCACAUGAGAGAUGUCUGCCGACUGUAUCUUCUCAAGUUCUUGAGCUUGAGGAAUACAAACGUCGCAAAGAUGCCUCGCAAAGUUGGCAAUCUAGAGCACUUGGAGACCCUUGAUGUAAAACACUCACACAUCUGGAAGUUGCCACGAACUGUGACAAAGCUAAGCAAACUAGAGCGCCUACGGUCCAACAGGUGGAAUCUGCCACGAGGGGUCUGGAAGAUGAAAGCGCUACGCGAGGUGGACGUAGGAGUUGUUGACAGUCCAUCGGUUGCCCAAGAGAUUGGUAAGCUGACACAAUUGCAGUUGCUAAGUAUCGUAAUCCAUGCAGAAGUCGAUGAUGGGUGUUUGACUAACCUUGCCUCCUCCUUGAGCAAGACAAGCAGCCUCCGGUUGCUAAAUGUGAAAUUCGGGAGGAGUAGUUGUUUGGAGUUUCUCCCUAUCUUCUCCAAGCCGCCGCCACUUCUCCAAUGCCUUGGUGUGUUUGACCGAGGCAUUAGCCAAUUGCCCGACUGGAUCUCAUCACUCACACACCUCACAAAGAUUGAAGUGGGAGAGGCAAAAGAACUUGAUGGUGACAAGUUAUUUAAUGUCUUGUGUAAGGUGCCCAAGCUUCACAGUGUUCGUCUGAAGGACAUUGACUGCAAAAACGGAAGAGAACUGGUUGCACGCGGCAAACACAGCUUCCCGGUGCUAAGGAUCCUGAAGGUGGUCGGAUUUUCCAGCAAGCUCGUGUUCGAGAGAGGAUCAAUGACAAAGCUGGAGACCCUUGUGUUGUUUUUUUAUAGCGAGAGGAUGAGCGUUGUUGGCCUCAAGAACUUGGAAAGCCUUAAAGAGGCCAAGCUCAGUGGUAGUAAAAGCAACCUGGAAAUGGAACGUGCGGUGGAGCAGCUCAGGACUCACCCCAAUCAGGUCAAACUUGUAGUGGAGUAUUGGGACUGA
rnacentral:rRNA from 1 species